rnacentral:rRNA from 1 species
AGAGUUUGAUCCUGGCUCAGGACGAACGCUGGCGGUGUGCUUCACACAUGCAAGUCGAGCGAAUGAAGAAGGUAGCUUGCUACUUUUGGAUUUAGCGGCGGACGGGUGGGUAAUAUAUAGGAAUCUGCCCUAGAGCGGGGAACAACAGACCGAAAGGUUUGCUAAUGCCCCAUAGGUACGCAGUCUUCGGAUUGUUUAUUAAAGGAGUAAUCCACUCUAGGAUGAGCCUGUAUCCGAUUAGCUAGUUGGCGGGGUAAAGGCCCACCAAGGCUACGAUCGGUAGUUGGUCUGAGAGGAUGAUCAGCCACAAUGGGACUGAGACACGGCCCAUACUCCUACGGGAGGCAGCAGUGGGGAAUUUUACACAAUGGGGGAAACCCUGAUGUAGCGACACCGCGUGAACGAAGAAGCCUUUUGGGGUGUAAAGUUCUGUCGGCUGGAACGAAAAAAAUGACGGUACCAGCAAAGGAAGCAUCGGCUAACUACGUGCCAGCAGCCGCGGUAAGACGUAGGAUGCAAGCGUUGUCCGGAUUUAUUGGGCGUAAAGAGUUCGUAGGCGGUUAUUUAAGUCUGGUGUUAAAUACUGUGGCCCAACCACAGAACUGCAUUGGAUACUGGAUGACUUGAGUGCGGUAGAGGCGAGUGGAAUUCCCAGUGUAGCGGUGAAAUGCGUAGA